ensembl:snoRNA SNORA70 Small nucleolar RNA SNORA70
CUGCAGUCAACGAAAUCGACCAGGUUUUUAUACUCAUGGGGCCCUGUGUACAACAGUUCCAAGCAACAGUCUCCUUGGGAGUAUGCAACCUGUACCUUGUUUGGGUUGCCCUGAGGGGUCUUUGAAACUGUU